ACGCGCGGGCGCACUGCGGGGGCCAAGGAAGGAAGAAAUGUGGUCGCGGUUGGUGUGGCUGGGCCUUCGGGCCCCUCUGGGCGGGCGCCAGGGCUUCACCUCCAAGGCGGAUCCUCAGGGCAGUGGCCGGAUCACGGCUGCGGUGAUCGAGCACCUGGAGCGUCUAGCGCUUGUGGACUUCGGCAGCCGCGAGGCAGUGGCGCGACUGGAGAAAGCUAUCGCCUUCGCCGACCGGCUACGCGCCGUGGACACAGACGGGGUGGAGCCCAUGGAAUCGGUCCUGGAGGACAGGUUGGAGUGCAGUGGUGUGAUCUCCGCUCACUACAAACUCUGCUUCCUACAUUCAAGUGAUUCUUGUGCCUCAGCCUCCCAGGUAGCUGGGAUUACAGAUGUCUAUACCUGAGAUCCGACAAUGUGGUAGAAGGCAACUGUGCUGAUGAAUUACUACAAAACUCCCAUCGCGUCGUGGAGGAGUACUUUGUGGCCCCCCCAGGUAAUAUCUCUUUGCCAAAGCUGGAUGAACAAGAGCCAUUCCCACACAGCUGAGUAGCUCAUUCUGGAAAGGGGGUACUCUGUGAACAUGUGGAAGCAUAAUGACAGUAUUUUUUUACUGUGAAUACUAAUGUUCCUGCUUUUUUCAGUCCCCUGAAAAAAUGGAUGCUCAAGCAUUUCUUAAUAACAGAUUCUUCUGAAGACAGAAUUGGGAAAGAUCUGGCCCCAACAAGGCAGUGAGUUCCUGAUGCUAACUGAGGUGAAAGAAAAGCAAAAGUCAGCUUCCAAGGAAUUCACUUAACAGGCCUGUUCAGUAUGGAAGACAUUAUUUAUCUGCCUUUAACUCCCCCCAAAGGACCAUACCAACUGCAUGAAAGUGAACUUUUCUAUCUACGUAACUGGUAGACGGAGCAUCUUGAUCACUAUGUGACAACCUUGGCUGUCAUUUUUAGUUGCCAUUUGCAUUGAUUUGAGCAGCCCUAUCUUUACCGAACAUACCUGAAUUUGUUCCUGGGCUCCCACUUUCUUCCCAGAAGAGGGCUAACUUCCUACUAAGGUCUGAAGAGUGUUGAAAGUAGACUAGAGCUUGGGAACUCCUAACCUAGAACUAUCUGCCAUCCCACAAAGUGAUUAUAUGCCAAAGGGAUACUAGUCAUACCUAGUGUUUCUCUUUCUGAAAAGAGAACUUAUCCUAAAAUUAGCCCUGGGCCUGGGACAAAGGAGCCCUCUCCGCCCCCAAAAUGAUUAUUAAAUUGAGAUGAGUCCAGGAUAAAACUCAGAUACCAAGGAUAAAUGAAACUUAUUUAGGGAUAAAAGUGGGCUGGGCGCAGUGGCUCACUCCUGUAAUCCCAGCACUUUGGGAGGCUGAGACGGGCGGAUCACAAGGUCAGGAGAUCAAGACCAUCCUGGCUAAUGCGGUGAAACCUCAUCUCUACUAAAAAUACAAAAAAUUAGCUGGGUGUGAUGACAGGUGCCUGUAGUCCCAGCUACUCGGGAGGCUGAGGCAGGAGAAUGGCGUGAACCCGGGAGACGGAGCUUGCAGUAAGCCGAGAUCGCACCACUGCACUCCAGCCUGGGCGACAGAGCAAGUCUCAAAAAAAAAAAAAAAGUGAUAGAAUCAGAGAGUUUUUCCUCUAACCAAACUGCCAAAGUUGGUUUUGGCUAAGAAUUUCCCAAUAAUAUUUAUGCUGCUGCUCAUUUUUUUAGUUUUCUGAGACAGGGGUCUCCCUCUGUCACCCAGGCUGGAGUGCAGUGGUGACAGAUCACUGCAGCCUCCAACUCCUGGGCUCAAGUGAUCCUCCCACCUCAGCCUCCUAAGUAACUGGGACUACAUAUGUGCAUCACCACGUCCAGUUAAUUUUUUUUUAAGUAGAGGUGGGGGUUUUGCUAUGUUGCCUAUCUGGUCGUGAACUCCUGGCCUCAAGGGAUCCUCUGGCAUGCCUUGGCCUCCCAAAGGGCUAGGAUCACAGGCAAAAGCCACCGUGUGUUUAUUUUUCCCAUUCCCUUCCUUUAUCUGCAAUGCUUUUUUCUUUAAGGCAGCCUAAUUUACAAGCUUGGCCUUGAAUUAAAAGAGAACCCAGAACCCGCUCUUGGAGUUUACGUUCUCAAACCAACAUCAGAGCAACUGUCUAUCCCCAUAUAAAUAAAGUUAUCUACCCCUGCUCCUAACUGGGUACAAGUUAUGACUACAACUCAGUGAUUUUUUAAAUUAGUGUGCCUAUUUGGUGAAAUCUGUGAACUUAAUCAAGGACAACCACACAUGUCAAUUACUAAACAUUUAAAAUAUAUUUCUAAACAGAAUGGGCCGACUCAGUCACAGUAACUGUUGAUCUCCAUAGUAGAGCAACCCACAAAGACAGAACUGAUUUUUUUCCCAUAAUCAGGGGUGAAAAAUAUACAACUUGUUUCUGAACCAAAACCACAAUUUCUGCAGUUUAAAAUGUUUCACUGCUAAUAUGGCCCUGGUAGAAAUUAUGUAGUUUUUUUUCUUCUUUAAAAAAAAAAAAUUAAAAAAAUUUCCUAAGACACUAAAUCCUCAAUCUGGAAUGUAGAUUCUGAGCACAAAGCAGCUCAGUUAACCUAAAAAAUAAAGAAAAAAUUCCCAUCACCUGUCUCAGUAGGGCCUGAAAGGAGAGAAGUAGUGUGGGGAACCCCUGCUUUGGUAUGGAGAGUCACGGCCCCUUGACCCAGACCGAGACCGUGAGUAGCCAUAGCUGGUGCUUCUCUCAGGAUAAACUCGGAUGUAGGAAGUUUCACCCUGAAAUGCAAACAAAAACAAAAAGAGUAAAGGGGAAAAAAAUCAGAGCCAGAAGAAUAAGCAAACCAACAUCUAACAAUAAUAGUUAAGUAUUGAGCACUUACUGUGUACUCUGUGCCUGGCAUGAGGCUAUCUCAUUAAACCUUCAUAACAUUAUGAGGUAGGUACUCUUACUAUCCCAUUUCAAGAAUGAAGAAAAUUAAGACUUAAGUUAUAUCAUUUGCCCAAGGUAACACAAUAAAUGCCAAUUUGACAUGUUGAUACUCAAUUAACUAUGAUAAACAAUAUAUCUGAAUUACUGCCAUUGACCCCCCUCAAAGCUAAGAACUGGAAAGGAUCUCAGGGGUCAUAUAGUUUAAUCCCCUGCCACCUCAUGUAUGCAUCUUUGGAUGGGCAUCUAUGGAAGGAGCUAGCCUGUAUUUAAUACCUUCCAGAUGUGAGGACCUGAGCUAGAUGCUUUAGACGUUAUCCUCUUGCUCUAGAUUCCUGGCAAGUCUUGUGAUGGUGCUAUUAUGUGACCAUUUUGCCCAUGAAGGAAUCGAGGUCCCAAGAGUAGUUCAGGUAAGGAAUUAAUAAGCAGCAGAGGAGUCAUGUCCAGGCUGGCUUGUCCCCAGGCCCUCUGCCUUCAGCCACCAUUCUCAGAAGAUCCAAAGAUGCCAAGGGGAAAGAAGCCGGAUGCUUUUUCACCUUAGGUGAAAGUCAGUAAUUGGAGUUACCCUUUCUGAGGCCCUGCUUUGCAGUAUAACUGAGGAUCAGGUGCUGUUCUGUUUCUGCUUCAAAUUCAAGUCCUAGAGGACAGUCUGAACAAAAGCAUCAUUAAACCAGGGAAGGACCAACCUCUAAGCCAAAAACUAGGCAAUUAUAUGAAUCCUCAGAAAAAGAAAUGAGCCCAGAGACCUGUGUCCCCAAACAUCCGUAAAUCUCAUAGUAAGGCAGGACAGGAUAACCAGAAAAAAACAAUGUCCAACUGGUCUGGUUUCUGGUCUCAAUGGUACCAAAGGGAUAGUCACCACCUCAAUCAAACUGAGAUCCAAAACAGCAGCUGCUUUCCUACAAGGAAAGACAUCAAGAACUACUGAGUCUGAAGGGUGACAUAAUCAACCACAAGAAAAUGUUACGGUUUAGCCUGGCACAGUGGUGCAUGCCUGCAGUCCCAACUACUGGAGAGGCUGAGGUGGGAGGACUGCUUGGGCCCAGGAGUUCAAGGUCAGCCUCGGCAAUAUAAUGAGACUGUCUCUAAAAUCAAAAAUUAGAGAAAUAUAAAAAUUAUAAAAUUAAAAAAGAAAAUGUCAUGAUAGCUCAGGUUUCAGAGAGGAUGCUGCACUACUCUGGGAAAAAAGUGAAGUGACAGCUCAGCCCUGACAGCAGGACCUAGAAGGGCUGAGAUGAAGAGGCUGACCUGUAGAGCUCAGCCUGGACCCACAGGAGGGGUAGUUGAGUUCACAGAGGGAUACUGCCAUUUAAGCUGGUUGUGAAUGGGGUGGUAUGAAGACCGACUGCACUAGUAUUCUCUCCAGGUUACAAAUACCAUGACCAAACUGUGUAAUGUGAUACUAAUAUGCAGAAUAAAGCAUAUUAAAAAACAAA